UGUAACGCUUGGCGGCGUGCCUAAUACAUGCAAGUCGAACGCUUUGUGGUUCAACUGAUUUGAAGAGCUUGCUCAGAUAUGACGAUGGACAUUGCAAAGAGUGGCGAACGGGUGAGUAACACGUGGGAAACCUACCUCUUAGCAGGGGAUAACAUUUGGAAACAGAUGCUAAUACCGUAUAACAAUGACAACCGCAUGGUUGUUAUUUAAAAGAUGGUUCUGCUAUCACUAAGAGAUGGUCCCGCGGUGCAUUAGCUAGUUGGUAAGGUAAUGGCUUACCAAGGCGAUGAUGCAUAGCCGAGUUGAGAGACUGAUCGGCCACAAUGGGACUGAGACACGGCCCAUACUCCUACGGGAGGCAGCAGUAGGGAAUCUUCCACAAUGGGCGAAAGCCUGAUGGAGCAACGCCGCGUGUGUGAUGAAGGGUUUCGGCUCGUAAAACACUGUUGUAAGAGAAGAAUGACAUUGAGAGUAACUGUUCAAUGUGUGACGGUAUCUUACCAGAAAGGAACGGCUAAAUACGUGCCAGCAGCCGCGGUAAUACGUAUGUUCCAAGCGUUAUCCGGAUUUAUUGGGCGUAAAGCGAGCGCAGACGGUUAUUUAAGUCUGAAGUGAAAGCCCUCAGCUCAACUGAGGAAUUGCUUUGGAAACUGGAUGACUUGAGUGCAGUAGAGGAAAGUGGAACUCCAUGUGUAGCGGUGAAAUGCGUAGAUAUAUGGAAGAACACCAGUGGCGAAGGCGGCUUUCUGGACUGUAACUGACGUUGAGGCUCGAAAGUGUGGGUAGCAAACAGGAUUAGAUACCCUGGUAGUCCACACCGUAAACGAUGAGUGCUAGGUGUUUGAGGGUUUCCGCCCUUAAGUGCCGCAGCUAACGCAUUAAGCACUCCGCCUGGGGAGUACGACCGCAAGGUUGAAACUCAAAGGAAUUGACGGGGACCCGCACAAGCGGUGGAGCAUGUGGUUUAAUUCGAAGCAACGCGAAGAACCUUACCAGGUCUUGACAUCCCUUGACAACUCCAGAGAUGGAGCGUUCCCUUCGGGGACAAGGUGACAGGUGGUGCAUGGUUGUCGUCAGCUCGUGUCGUGAGAUGUUGGGUUAAGUCCCGCAACGAGCGCAACCCUUAUUACUAGUUGCCAGCAUUCAGUUGGGCACUCUAGUGAGACUGCCGGUGACAAACCGGAGGAAGGUGGGGAUGACGUCAAAUCAUCAUGCCCCUUAUGACCUGGGCUACACACGUGCUACAAUGGCGUAUACAACGAGUUGCCAACCCGCGAGGGUGAGCUAAUCUCUUAAAGUACGUCUCAGUUCGGAUUGUAGGCUGCAACUCGCCUACAUGAAGUCGGAAUCGCUAGUAAUCGCGGAUCAGCACGCCGCGGUGAAUACGUUCCCGGGUCUUGUACACACCGCCCGUCACACCAUGAGAGUUUGUAACACCCAAAGCCGGUGGGGUAACCUUCGGGAGCCAGCCGUCUAAGGUGGGACAGAUGAUUAGGGGU
rnacentral:rRNA from 1 species